rnacentral:rRNA from 1 species
GCCCUACGGGACGCAGCAGUGGGGAAUAUUGGGCAAUGGGCGCAAGCCUGACCCAGCAACGCCGCGUGAAGGAAGAAGGCUUUCGGGUCGUAAACUUCUUUUCUCAGGGACGAAGAAAGUGACGGUACCUGAGGAAUAAGCCACGGCUAACUACGUGCCAGCAGCCGCGGUAAUACGUAGGUGGCAAGCGUUAUCCGGAUUUAUUGGGUGUAAAGGGCGUGUAGGCGGGAGCGCAAGUCAGAUGUGAAAACUAUGGGCUCAACCCAUAGCCUGCAUUUGAAACUGUAUUUCUUGAGUGCUGGAGG